AGUGAACGCUGGCGGUAGGCCUAACACAUGCAAGUCGAACGGCAGCACAGUAAGAGCUUGCUCUUACGGGUGGCGAGUGGCGGACGGGUGAGGAAUACAUCGGAAUCUACUUUUUCGUGGGGGAUAACGUAGGGAAACUUACGCUAAUACCGCAUACGACCUACGGGUGAAAGCAGGGGAUCUUCGGACCUUGCGCGAUUGAAUGAGCCGAUGUCGGAUUAGCUAGUUGGCGGGGUAAAGGCCCACCAAGGCGACGAUCCGUAGCUGGUCUGAGAGGAUGAUCAGCUACACUGGAACUGAGACACGGUCCAGACCCCUACGGGAGGCAGCAGUGGGGAAUAUUGGACAAUGGGCGCAAGCCUGAUCCAGCCAUACCGCGUGGGUGAAGAAGGCCUUCGGGUUGUAAAGCCCUUUUGUUGGGAAAGAAAAGCAGCAGGUUAAUACCCCGCUGUUCUGACGGUACCCAAAGAAUAAGCACCGGCUAACUUCGUG
rnacentral:rRNA from 1 species